rnacentral:tRNA from 1 species
GCCCAGGUGGCGGAAUGGUAUACGCGCUACCUUGAGGUGGUAGUCCAUGUAUUUGGGUGGAGGUUCAAGUCCUCUCCUGGGCACCA